rnacentral:rRNA from 1 species
AGAGUUUGAUCAUGGCUCAGGAUGAAUGCUGGCGGCAUGCCUAAUACAUGCAAGUCGAGCGGUAACAGGACUAGCUUGCUAGUUGCUGACGAGCGGCGGACGGCUGAGUAACGCGUGGGAACGGACCCCAAACUGAGGGAUAACCACUCGGAAGAGUGGCUAAUACCGCAUGUGAUCUUCGGAUUAAAGUCUUCGGACGGUUUGGGACUGGCCUGCGUACGAUUAGAUAGUUGGUGAGGUAAUGGCUCACCAAGUCGACGAUCGUUAGAUGGUUUGAGAGGAUGAUCAUCCAGACUGGGACUGAGACACGGCCCAGACUCCUACGGGAGACAGCAGUAGGGAAUCUUUCACAAUGGGCGAAAGCCUGAUGGAGCAAUGCCGCGUGCAGGACGAAGGCCUUCGGGUUGUAAACUGCUUUUAUAAGCGAGGAAUAUGACGGUAACUUAUGAAUAAGGAUCGGCUAACUACGUGCCAGCAGCCGCGGUCAUACGUAGGAUCCGAGCAUUAUCCGGAGUGACUGGGCGUAAAGAGUUGCGUAGGUGGCGUCUUAAGUAGCAAGUGAAAUCUGGUGGCUCAACCAUUCAGACUGUUUGCUAAACUGAGAUGCUCGAGAGCGUCAUGGGUAACUGGAAUUUCCAGUGUAGGAGUGAAAUCCGUAGAUAUUAGAAGGAACACCGAUAGCGUAGGCAGGUUACUGGGGCGUUUCUGACACUAAGGCACGAAAGCGUAGGGAGCAAACGGGAUUAGAUACCCUGGUAGUCC